GGGACCCGAUUCAUUUCUUAAAAAGGUUUGGUCCCCCCGCAGCCUCGCCCGCCCGCCCGCCCGCCGCUCCGCCGGCGACCUCCGCGCGGAGAGAUGGCGGGCAAGGCUGGCCUCUCCCUGCGGCUCACCUUCCUCCUCUCGCUCUCCCUCUCCGCCUCCUACUCCACCUGCUCCUCCCACUCCUUCCUCUCUCUCCGCUCCUCUUCGCCUUCGCCGCCGCCGUCGUCGUCUCCGAUCCCCAAGGCCACUCCCUCCGACCUCCUCUCCCUCCUCGGCCCCGCCGCCUCCGCCCGGUCCUCCGCCUGCUCGGUCAACCCCGUCGUCGCCGACAGGCUCCGGUCCUGCUUCAAGUUCCUGGUCCCCUUCUCUCCUCCCCCGACGACCCCGAGGUGCUUCUCCGCCAGCCGGAAGCUGAUCGCCGGCGACGGGAUUGGAAGCCGGAGGGUCGAGUGCGAGCGGCGGAGGGAGGAGGACCGGCUCGUCUGGUGGCCGCCCGAGCCGGUCCUCGAGCUGGCUCGGCUGGCCGUCGACUCCGGCGGCGACGUCGGAGCUAUCCAUCGCGCCCUCGAUCCCACGCCCCUUCCUGUUCCUGAUGUCGAAGGAUCGAAAGAGAACAAGUGCCAGCUCACGAGAACGCCCUAUGGAAGGCGCUUCAUUAGCGAGGAGCUGAAUGCAUACCUUAAGUUUUUAUUUGAGCUCAUCGAAUCCCGUGGUCCUGCCGUUGGGUUGAACGUGACAUUGAGCCGCUAUGAUUUUUUCCAUGGUCACCUUUUUCUCGCCAACAACACCGGGAGGCUUGGUAUAUUGUUUCAUGCUAAGGAGUACCCCUCCUGUGACAAGGAAGUGUUUCCAUACUAUAUGGGUUAUUGCCAAACAGGUUCAAAUGUAAUUUAUGACGAUUCAAUGAACUUGCGGAACAUUCUUUGGCUUGCUCCAUUACCAAGCAGUUGCACUGAUUCUUGGUUGUCGCCAGGAGUCCUUGUGGUGUUGGAUGCUCGCCCGGAUGGAAUUAUAUACCAGGAUCUGAUCCCUGAAUACGUACAGUUUGCUAGGACUUUAUACGAAGAUGAUUUAGGGGAUGUUGCAGUUGAUGUCAACUAUUUGAAUGUAGGAGCUUUGAAGCCAGAUUAUCAAAUUUUCAUCUGCUAGCGAUCUUCCCAUGGCAACCCACAUUUGGGCAAUCGUUCAUGUAGGUGCCAAAGCAACAUUCUUGCAUAGUUUCCAUCAACUACAAACAUUUCGUUUUCUCAGGGUUGGAGCAGAGAUCCCAUGUGAAAUGUGCAGCGCAGGCGGGAGAACAAACCGUGCCUGCAUCAUAUUGAUUCGAGUCACAUAUCGACCUGAAUCUCAACGAGGUCGGAUCUGUUCUUUCUAUUUUCGACAAAGAAACCUCCUUCCCAAGAAGUGCUGUCUUGCAAGAGUUAUUGAAAAGGGAACUAAGAAAACUGAACUUGGGAGUGCCUGCAUGGAACCGGAAGAUUUGAGUUGAUCUGAAUUCCGGCCGUAGGCGUGUUGAAGUUGAUUUGAUACGAUUCAUUACGGGUUCGAGUCUGCUGGGGCUACAGCCGGUAAAAACUCGAAGUAGCCCCAUGAGAGUCGAAUUUUAGUACAUAAACUAAUUUGUUUGCUUAUUUUCAUACCAAUGAUUUUAUUCAUGUCAUCAUUUAUUUGAAUGGACAGUCGUGUUGUAUCAUAAGAAAAAUAAUCGAGCUGAUUUGAGCUGGUC